GAUGAACGCUGGCGGCGUGCCUAAUACAUGCAAGUCGAACGAGUUCUCCCUAAAUCUUUUGAUGCUUGCAUUAAAAGAUUUAGGAUUCGGAACGAGUGGCGAACUGGUGAGUAACACGUGGGUAACCUGCCCUGAAGUGGGGGAUAACAUUUGGAAACAAAUGCUAAUACCGCAUAAUUAGUUGAAACCACAUGGUUUCAACUUGAAAGAUGGCUCUGCUAUCACUUUAGGAUGGACCCGCGGCGUAUUAGCUAGUUGGUGAGAUAAUAGCCCACCAAGGCGAUGAUACGUAGCCGACCUGAGAGGGUAAUCGGCCACAUUGGGACUGAGACACGGCCCAGACUCACGGGAGCAGCAGUAGGAAUCUUCCAAAUGGACGCAAGUCUGAUGGAGCAACGCCGCGUGAGUGAAGAACGGUUUCGCGUCGUAAAACUCU
rnacentral:rRNA from 1 species